ACACACUAAAUUUUUCAUUGCUGCUACUUGCUGAGAAGCCCCUGACUGCAGGGUGCAGUUCUCGGCCGGGCUCAAUGUGGGCGGAGUCAAACGGUUUAACCCAAAACCUUCCCAUCUCCUUCGAGGUCACGCAAGUUGAGGUAAAGUCAAUGGUGUCAACGAAAGCGAAUCUCAAUCGAACCUAACCUACAUGGAUAGCACUAUAAACCAUGGAAGGCCUACCAAAGUAAGGUUUCUCAAGCAACUGUGAGAUGUUUGUUUUGAUGAUGAUACUGAAAACAAAAUGCACGACGAGCUGUGUCCUGGGAAGCAGAUGUUCUUCUAAGGGACACCCUAGAGGCAGCAAGGUGAUGUGAACUCCAAACAUUUAAAGGCACUGUUCCCCUCCCUAGUGUAAUUGGGAUGGAAGGGGAAGACCGCAUUACAACCCUUAAAGAACUACAGUUGUAUGAUGGCCUGGAUGAAGAGAAAAAUGUUCUCCUCAAGGAACCAUUCAUGUUACAGAGAGAUUAUAAUUUGUUCUAUUUGGAGGCAGUUGACAACAAGAAAAUUACUGUCUUUGUCUUUUGAGGAGCAAAGCCAUUUUUGAGGAGUGGUCAAACUUUGUCUGCUGUGUUAAUUGUUUCAAUUGUUAAUUGUGUUAUGUUUAGUAAAGAUGACGUAGAAGUCACCCGAGUCUCUGAUCUCUUCACUGGAGCUGGUAUAACUUAAUGUACAAAGCACAUUCAGCUUGUCAGUAUGUCUAUAUGGUAUAGUCUGUCUCCAUUCUCAUGAGGAAAGUAAAUAACAUUAUAAAUCAGGAUGGGUAGUAACUGUGUGUAUAUGCUCAAUUAAAUAAUAUAAUUACAAAGUUAUAACAUUUAUCAACACAAUUUUAACAGUAAAUAACAAGUCUGCUGUUCACUGCAACUAUCAGUAGUUUGUCUCAAAUAUAGCAUGAAGCAAAAAGUGUUACAUCUGCUGGUACUUGUAAGAAAUAUUAUAUAAAUCUUCAAAAAUGAAAUAUGUUUGUAUUCAACUUGUGCCUUGCGCAAAUGUGUGUUACUGUCAAACAUCAGAUGGACAAAAAAAUGUGGGCAGGGUCAAAUGUGAGCAGAGUCAAACGUUUGACUCCACCCACAUUGAACCCAGCCCCGAAUUGCACACUGCAGUCAGGGGUACUUGGACUUGCUUGCUGGUUGAGAUUUCUGCUCUUCACUCCAUUGUCAGUUUAGCCUACAUUUCACUGAUCAUAGGAGCAGAAAUGGUUUUUUAUUUGUGUCCUUCAAGGCAGCUGUCAAUGAUCACGUUAGGCUGUGUUUCAUUUGAUUUGUUAUGGCGGUUUGAUCGCAGAGGAGACACUAGUAAUGUCUGCAGUUUUCGGUUUGUCAUUUUGUUUCAAAUGUAUUAGUCUAAUAAUAAAUCUCUUC